rnacentral:rRNA from 1 species
CACGUAUUUAGCCGUUCCUUUCUGGUAAGAUACCGUCACACAUUGAAUAGUUACUCUCAAUGUCAUUCUUCUCUUACAACAGUGUUUUACGAGCCGAAACCCUUCAUCACACACGCGGCGUUGCUCCAUCAGGCUUUCGCCCAUUGUGGAAGAUUCCCUACUGCUGCCUCCCGUAGGAGUAUGGGCCGUGUCUCAGUCCCAUUGUGGCCGAUCAGUCUCUCAACUCGGCUAUGCAUCAUAGUCUUGGUGAGCCAUUACCUCACCAACUAACUAAUGCACCGCGGGACCAUCUCUUAGUGAUAGCAGAACCAUCUUUUAAGUAGCAACCAUGCGGUUGCUAUUGUUAUACGGUAUUAGCAUCUGUUUCCAAAUGUUAUCCCCUGCUAAGAGGUAGGUUUCCCACGUGUUACUCACCCGUUCGCCACUCUUUGCAAUGUCCAUCGUCAUAUCUGAGCAAGCUCUUCAAAUCAGUUGAACCACAAAAC